rnacentral:rRNA from 1 species
GACGAACCGAGCGAACGUUGUUCGGAAUUACUGGGCGUAAAGCGCACGUAGGCGGCUUUGUAAGUUAGAGGUGAAAGCCCAGGGCUCAACCCUGGAAUUGCCUUUAAGACUGCAUCGCUAGAAUUGUGGAGAGGUAAGUGGAAUUCCGAGUGUAGAGGUGAAAUUCGUAGAUAUUCGGAAGAACACCAGUGGCGAAGGCGACUUACUGGACACAUAUUGACGCUGAGGUGCGAAAGCGUGGGGAGCAAACAGG